GCUGGGUGUGGUGGUGCACACCUGUGGUCCCAGCAACUUGGGAGGCUGAGGUGAGAGGAUCUCUUGAGCCUAGGAGGUUGCAGUGAACCAUGAUUGUGCCACUGCACUCCAGCCUGGGUAACAAAGUGAGACCUCAUCUCAA
rfam:Papio anubis isolate 1X1155 chromosome 5, whole genome shotgun sequence.